rnacentral:rRNA from 1 species
AGGUGUCGGUUAAGUCCCAUAACGAGCGCAACCCCUACUGCUAGUUGCCAGCGGGUCAUGCCGGGGACUCUAGCGGAACUGCCAGCGUAAGCUGCGAGGAAGGUGGGGAUGACGUCAAAUCAGCACGGCCCUUACGUCCAGGGCUACACACGUGUUACAAUGGCCAGUACGGAGGGCAGCCACCCCGCGAGGGGGCGCUAAUCCUAAAAGCUGGUCCCAGUUCGGAUUGCAGGCUGAAACUCGCCUACAUGAAGUUGGAGUUGCUAGUAAUCGCGAAUCAGAAUGUCGCGGUGAAUGCGUUCCCGGGUCUU